GCCGAGGAGGAGGGCUCCCUGAGGCAGGGCUGCUUCCAAAGAUGCGGAUUCGUUUCCUCUGCCCGCCCGGAGUCCGCGUCAGCCCGGGGCCCCGGGAGCCCACUUGUCCGGGCUGCUCCCGGUCACGCACGCAGCUCUUCUAACAGGACUGCACCUACCCCGGCCGGUGUGCCUCCCCGCGGGCCGCACACUCCUUCGGCUCCGGCGCCGGGGGCUGCAGGAGUCCAUCAGGCUUUGGGACACACACACACGUGUAUAUAUACAUAUAUAUCAACACAUACAUGUACAUAUAUACAUAUACACCAAUAUAUAUAUAAACAUACUAUACACACACACACACAUAUGGAAUAUAUGGAAUGGAAUAUAUCUUGGGCAUGCAUUAUAUACUUAUUGCCAGAUUAUAUAUAAAACAUACACGUAUUAUAUAAAUAUAUAAUAAAUAUACAUGCUACCAUUUCUAUUAUGCAUCCUACAGGUAUGUUUGUAUGUAUAUAUGUGUAUGACACACACACACUAUACAUAUAUUACAUAUACAUAACAUGCAGAUAUUGUGCAAUAUCUAUAGUAUUGUGCAAUAUAUAUAAUGUGUGUCAUAGAUAAUAUGUCAUACAUAUAAAAUGCAGAUAUUGUGCAAUAUAUAUCAUGCUAUAUAUAUAAAAUGUGUGUGUGUGAUAUCCAUGCCUCCCAGGUGUUGAGCUUCCCAGUGAAGCCGUGAUGGCUCCUCAGUGCCCGAUGCACUGACCGUCUGACCGUGAGCUGUGCUCACUUGCCUGUUCCUCUCGACUCUCUCCCCUCCCCAUCCCGUGCCUUUCUGCGCUGGCUUUGGGCCGAUGCACUGUUGACGGCUCAGCCGAGGCACUCGAUCGCCCCUCGGCUCCCGAAACAAGCGGCCCCGGCCCGAGGGCCCCGUGCGCCGGGAAUGGCGGGCUGAGCUGUAGCCGGGCGCGGUGCCGCGGGGGUCGCGGCCGGGCUGCGGCGGGGAGGUCCGGCCGGCGGCGCGCAGGGGACGCCGCUCGCCCUCCCCGGGCAGUGUUUAUGCAACUGAAUGUACUUCACAAACUGCUGCUCCCUACACAUCCUGCUAGCAGGGCCACCCAGAGAUCAGAAGCGGUUGCAGCUUGAAACCGUCUGUGAUGCAGCUAAGAGCGGACUUCUCUGACCCGCACAACGAUAGCUCCCGGUGAAUUUUCGAACCUAGCCGGCAGAACCAGAAAGCACAGAUGAGCCUGAAAAUGAAAAAUGGGGGAAAGAAACAUUUUCCAGACCUUUCAUUAAGAAGGAAAGAAAGAAGUUCUAUUUACACAGGAUUGUCACACCACAAAGUCCCCUAAAGCCCAAUUUGCUCUUUAAAGGUUUGGGCAACACUCAAAUCUGACCUUUAGAGCCAUAAACAAAUUCAACUGUUUCACAACCAAUAGUAAGAAAAAUUUUGAACAGCUAGGUAUCCCUUGAGUUUCCUCACAAAGGAGAAGAUGCCCCAGUACACCACAACUCAGAAGAAGCAGGAGACCAAGAAAGAGAGCAUGCACAAAUAACGAUGGUGUUCUACAGACUUGUGAAACUGCUAGACCAGUGAUUCUCAAUGUUUUUCGACUCAAGGCACCCCUCUAAAAAUGCCAGCUCUUAGUUUUUAUUCAUUUCUUGACUACAGGAGAAAUAGAGCAAUUUUUCUGUUGCAGAAAACUCAGAAAGAUCACAACAGGUCAGACUGGAUAUUUGAUGCUAUAGAUUUUUAUUUGAAAUCUCUGGGUUUAUUUUGUGAAUGAUGAGCAAGUGUUUUCACACCUUAACUGUGCUAAUAUUGCAUAGUACCCUGUAGCACCCUUAAAAGCAUCUCAUGGCAACAUAGGAUGCUAUGGCACCCUGGUUAAGAAUCACUGUGCUAUACAGAAGGAUAUCCAAACUAAUUGAGAGCAGCACACUACGCACUUUGAAAGAAACUGUCAGAAGACCUUUUAUUUACUUUUUAAGGUAGAGUUCUCACCAACAGGCAUAUGCUGUAGCAAGAUUUUUACUGAGCAAACAGCAUGUAGUAAUGGCACUCUGUGUAUUUUUUCAGUGUGCAGGGCCUGGCUACCGUUCAAGGUGAAAUUUAAAGGUAGCUAAAUCAAUUUCCACACACCUUUAUUGAAAUAAAACCAUUUCCCCCCUGCGCUUUUUGUUUAUUUGAACUUUGCCUGGGCCCAUGCUCCUCACAUACAAAAUCUACCUCUCUUUUUGGUCUUGUUGACAUGUGUGGGGGGCAGGACUGUGUCACCUGCAAUUGACUCUCCUGAAUUGAUCUUUGGAUGAGGUGUAAUUAGACUGAAUCGUGUAACUUUUAUUCCAGAAUGAAGUGUCCACAGGAGGCAUUAUACUGCCCAAGCUCUAAUGGUAUAACUAUGCCACUCUAAUUCUGCUGGUCAAUUUCUCCAGUAGUCAAGCACUUUGCAAGCAAAAUGCUUACAUCUCAGUGCUACACAUAAUUGGAAUAUAAAGAGCUUGGCUCAGAUAAAGCUGUUCCCUCUCCUUAAACCACCAGUGAAGUGACCAGCUGGGGAUUCCCCUGAAGUAGGGGAAUGUCUUGGUGACAGAGCAAUCCCCAGCUGCCAUGAUGGCCGGGCCAUUACAGGUGGCUGAGCAUUAGAGCCCAAAAGUAAAAUCAUUGCAUCUCUUAAGGUUCCCUCAAACCUUAUUUGCACAAAUUGGAGGAUUGGUCCCAUUGUCCCACUACCUCUAUAGGCAGAUCCUGGAUUUUGUAAAGGGGGGUGCAGCAGCAGCAACUGGCACUGCAGGGCUGGUUGUACCUUCCCAUUCCUAGCCAUCCACCUUGACCAGAGCAGGAAGACAACACAAUGAGAGCAGCAACCAGAGACUUUAUAACCUCAAAUCAGAUAAGGAUCUGCCCCUCCAGCUCUCUCCACCUCCCGGGCCCCUUUCUUGACUACUCAGCAAUACCUCCCUUCCCCUGCUGCUGACCCUAGGAGGUGGGGAGGGUUGCUCCCCCCACCCCCAACUACUCCCCCGCAAGUGUUCCCUGCCAACCCAGGAACAGAGUCAGGGAGGGGGAACCCAUCUGCCACUGUCCUCAGCUGAGCCUGUUUUCCAGUGCAGUGGGAGCAGGGUAGGAGCAGCUCUGGAGCUUUACCUAGCCCAAUGGCAGGCAAGGACAGUGGCAACAGCAGGCAGAGGAAGGGAGGUGUUGCUGAGCAUGGAAAGGAAAGGAAAACAUCCUUACCUGCCUCAGCAACUUAAAAAGUCCCCCAACUGCUACUCCUGCAGUGUGGUUUGAAAGGGAAGGGGAGGUGCAACUGUGCUACCACACCCCCUCUGGAUCCAACCCUGACCACCUCCAAAACAUCUUAGCCACUCCAGGUUCUACAGUAACAGGACCCUCAUCUCUGCUCAUAACUAUCAACUCCCCUGCAUUACAAGGGAAGGCAGUGAUUUUAAACCUACAUUCCCCUUCUCCAUAUAACACACCUCUUUCCAUUUUGUAAAUGCUCAGUUUGUAGGACCUGCCAAUUACAGGUUUGGAUGAGAAGGGUUAACUACACACAUACUUGCCCACUCAAACAGGCAACAGUACAUUUUGUGCAUCCUAAAACUCACAGAGAUGGCAAUUUCAAAGUGCAACAAGUUACAUGUAAAGUUUGGCGCAUCUUACAGGGGAGAUUUGGUCUCAUUCAUUUUGUUGUUGAACCUGCAAGUGCCAUGUCAGAUGUUCAGAAAUACUUAAUGUUCAAAUGCAGCAGAUGUGUAUUGUUUUGGUAAGAAAGGCACUAUUUGCUUCUGGAGGCAGAGGUUGUCUUCUUGUUCUCUUUUUCUAACACAAAAAUCAGCCCUGUAAUCUAAACAUCAGGUGUAUUUCUGUAAAUCAUUUAAGAUCACAUUUACAAAAUUGAAUUUGUCCAACUAUUUAAACUGCAUUACCAUGGUAUAUGAAUACCUUAAAAUCUAUAAUGAAACAUAGGGUUUAACAUCUACUUUAACCUAUAUUUAUACAUCAAUUAAAUUUACCCCCUUUACCCUAAAUUAACUGCUUAAUUUUGACACUGUCAUUCUCAACAUGUAAAUUACACCAGCUUAUAUCAACAGUGACAGACUGUGACAUUUAUUGCCAUUUACAUCAGCUCUGAACUGACACAAAGUACCAUUGCAUUUAGUAGCAAUCAAAAUAGAACCUGACAUUUUUGUGGAUGGAUAGAGUUACAAGAAGAAUGAUUAAAAAAGCAAUCAAAACCAAGUAUUUGAGAAGAGAUAUAAGCCUUCAUGAUUCUGGGCAUGAGCCAGCCUCUAAUUAGAGAUGGUUAAGAUGACAACUGUCUCCAUUGGCAGGUUAUUGUAUUAUCAUUCACUAUAGGGUUUUCUGCAUCUUUCCUUGGGCUGCUGGUUCUACCUACAGUAAGAAACAGGAUAUGGGACUAGACCAGGGGUGGGUAAAAUACAGGCCGUGGGCCAGAUCUGGCACACCAGGUAACUGGAUCCUGCUUGUGGCAGCCCUUGCAGCGCUUGGCAUGGAGCCAAGCCCUGCCCACUUAUGCUGGGGCAGCCUGCACCGGGCUCCCCCCGACCAGUUUGUGCAUUCUCCAACAUGGCUGCAGCUGGGUACUUCUCUGCUCCCUCCACCUCCAGAGGGGGCUCCUGCCCCUGCCACACCGUGCCACACUACUCCGGACAAGCAGGUGGGCAGCUUCAUCUGGGCAGCUCUUGCCCCAACUUGCAGGUCUCCAACUCCAGCUCCUGGCAUUUUCCAGUGGAAGGCAGAGCUGAAGGUAAAGCUGAAGCAGAAGCUGAAGCCAGAGCCCUGUGCUCUGGGACAGGAGCUGCCCAGCUGAAACUGCCCACCCAGCUACAAGGAAUAGCACAGUGCACCAGGGGCCAGAAGCAGGAACCACGGUUGGAGGUGUGGUGCAUACAGCAGCACCCAGAUGGCUGCAACUGCACUGGGAACAGCCUGCAGGCCGUCCCGCACUGUACCAUGCUGCUCCGAACAGGUGGGUGGGCAGCUUGAGCCAGGCAACACUUGACCUAGCAUGCAGGGCUCUGGCUUCAGCUGCCAACCACCUUCCUGGCAGGGGCAAGGUCAGAGACAGGGGCAGGAGCAGGAGCUGCCGCUGGAAGCAGGGGGUAGAAAAUGGCACCCAGCCGAGCCAGGCCAGG